GACAGCUCAGUUGGUAUAUCAUGAGAUUCUUAAUCUCAGGGUUGUGGGUUCAAAAGUCUCACGUUGGGCA